GUGUCAGCCGCCGCGGUAAGACGGAGGGUGCGAGCGUUAUUCGGAUUUAUUGGGCGUAAAGAGUGUGUAGGCGGUCGAUCAAGUCUGAUGUGAAAGCCCGGGGCUUAACCUCGGAAGGGCGUUGGAAACUGGUCGACUUGAGUUCGGGAGAGGAAAGCGGAAUUCCGGGUGUAGAGGUGAAAUUCGUAGAUAUCCGGAGGAACACCGGUGGCGAAGGCGGCUUUCUGGACCGAAACUGACGCUGAGACACGAAAGCGUGGGGAGCAAACAGGAUUAGAAACCCCCGUAGUCC
rnacentral:rRNA from 1 species